GACGAACGCUGGCGGCGUGCUUAACACAUGCAAGUCGAACGCGCCUGUCCUCUGGGUUUCUGGGGGGUGGGUGAGUGGCGAACGGGUGAGUAACACGUGAGUAACCUGCCCCCUUCUUCGGGAUAACGGUCUGAAAGGGCUGCUAAUACCGGGUAUUCACUGGUCUCCGCAUGGGGUCUGGUGGAAAGGCUUUUUUCUGGUGGGGGAUGGGCUCGCGGCCUAUCAGCUUGUUGGUGGGGUGAUGGCCCACCAAGGCUUUGACGGGUAGCCGGCCUGAGAGGGUGACCGGUCACAUUGGGACUGAGAUACGGCCCAGACUCCUACGGGAGGCAGCAGUGGGGAAUAUUGCACAAUGGGCGCAAGCCUGAUGCAGCGACGCCGCGUGAGGGAUGGAGGCCUUCGGGUUGUGAACCUCUUUCGCCCGUGGUCAAGCCGCGACGUGGGUCGUGGUGAGGGUAGUGGGUAAAGAAGCGCCGGCUAACUACGUG
rnacentral:rRNA from 1 species